CAAUAGCGUAUAUUAAAGUUGUUGCGGUUAAAAGCUCGUAGUUGGAUUUCUGUCGGAGACGCGCGGUCCGCACUAUGUGCGUGUAUCUGUGUCGGCUCUGGCAUCCUCCUGGGGAACGGUGCUGCGCUUGAUUGCGUGGUCCGGUAUUCAGGACUUUUACUUUGAGGAAAUGAGAGUGUUUCAAGCAGGCUUGCGCCGUGAAUACGUUAGCAUGGAAUAAUAGCAUCGGACCUCGCUCCAAAGCUGUUGGUUUCUUGGGGCGAGGUAAAGGUGAAUAGGGAUUGUUGGGGGCAUUCGUAUUUAACUGUCAGAGGUGAAAUUCUUGGAUUUGUUGAAGACGGACUACUGCGAAAGCAUCUGCCAAAGAUGUUCUCAUUGAUCAAGAACGAAAGUUAGGUGAUCGAAGAUGAUUAGAUACCAU
rnacentral:rRNA from 1 species